rnacentral:lncRNA from 1 species
AAAAGGCGUAUGAACAUAUGUUUCAUUGAUAAAAUGAUGUAAUAUACAUCCAAUUUUUACUAUUACAGAUACAUGUACACAACUUACAUAUGGAUACAUACAGCCAGGAACUUUAAAUAUGUUCAUGCCGUAUUUGAAAGAAGACAGCCAUUUGUCAUCACCAAAAGGUUAUAUGUCUGAGAAUUUUACAGUUGCUCCCAAACCAGUUGCAGUGGCAGAGGAUAGACAUUGCAUCUCCUUCUUGCCUGUUUUCCGCUACUACAAGGUUGUUGAAAAUGGUAGCAAGCGUGGAAAUCCGACAAACAAAAUUGUGGAGUCCAAAAAGAGCCCAUCAGUUCGAUAAUAUCUAUACUAGCUAACUUCCAUUCUGUUGUAUGAUAAACUGGACUACGAUUCUUGAAGUAGGAGAUUUAAUUGUAAUGCACCUUUUGCCAACAGACCACUUCUCCUACAACAAUAGAAUGUAAGCAAAACUUGAGUAGCCAACAAAAUCAAGACACAAGGACUCUGGGCUUCUAGCUGCUUUAGAUAUGUAAGAAAAGGAGGUAAAGAUAUCAACUAGAAUUUAAUCGACAACAAGUUGCAUCAAUCUUGAAUAUUUCAAAAGUUCAACACACACCUAUCAAUUAGAAAUCAAGCCUUAGGCCCCUGCCCUCCAAACCAAACAUAUUCAGACACCAU